UACGAAGGGGGCUAGCGUUGCUCGGAAUUACUGGGCGUAAAGCGCACGUAGGCGGAUUGUUAAGUCGGGGGUGAAAUCCUGGAGCUCAACUCCAGAACUGCCUUUGAUACUGGCGACCUUGAGUCCGGGAGAGGUGAGUGGAACUGCGAGUGUAGAGGUGAAAUUCGUAGAUAUUCGCAAGAACACCAGUGGCGAAGGCGGCUCACUGGCCCGGUACUGACGCUGAGGUGCGAAAGCG
rnacentral:rRNA from 1 species